AUCUAGCUGACCAGUUCCAAAUAGGAUGAAACGCGUUUCCUGUAU
rnacentral:hammerhead_ribozyme from 1 species